GUUCUGACCAUAAACGAUGCCGACUAGCGAUCCGCCGGAGUUGUACCUAUGACCCGGCGGGCAGCUUCCGGGAAACCAAAGUCUUUGGGUUCCGGGGGAAGUAUGGUUGCAAAGCUGAAACUUAAAGGAAUUGACGGAAGGGCACCACCAGGAGUGGAGCCUGCGGCUUAAUUUGACUCAACACGGGGAAACUCACCCGGCCCGGACACCGUGAGGAUUGACAGAUUGAGAGCUCUUUCUUGAUUCGGUGGGUGGUGGUGCAUGGCCGUUCUUAGUUGGUGGAGCGAUUUGUCUGGUUAAUUCCGAUAACGAACGAGACUCUAGCCUAUUAAAUAGUUUGCCGCCCGUGAAUGGUAGCGGCACCCUAACUUCUUAGAGGGACAAGCGGCGCUUAGCCGCACGAGAUUGAGCAAUAACAGGUCUGUGAUGCCCUUAGAUGUUCGGGGCCGCACGCGCGCUACACUGAAGGUGACAGAGGGUCGAGUCCUUGCCAGAGAUGGUCGGGCAACCCGUGCAGAACCGCUUUCGUGCUAGGGACUGGGGCUUGCAAUUCUUGCCCAUGAACGAGGAAUUCCCAGUAAGCGCGAGUCAUCAGCUCGUGUUGAUUACGUCCCUGCCCUUUGUACACACCGCCCGUCGCUACUACCGAUUGAACGGUUUAGUGAGGCCCUCGGACCUGCCCCGGGCUGGCGGGCAUCUGCCGGCCCUGGUUGUCGCGGAGAAGACGGUCGAACUUGAUCAUUUAGAGGAAGUAAAAGUCGUAACAAGGUUUCCGUA
rnacentral:rRNA from 1 species